GAACGCGAGCCCGAGGCGGGGGGCGGGGGGAAAGAGUGCCUAUGACGUCACAGUAAGGCAGAGCCUGAAGGAACCUUCUGUACCCGAAAUAGAACAACCUGGAUUACGUCCCUCUUGAGGGUUUGUCUAGCCGCUGUUUGUCUACUGCCUUCAGUGAUAGGAAACUCAAUAGCGACCAUAGACAUUUCCAUAUCUCAUUUGCCUCCUUUUAACGCUCCCGAGUGCUCUUACCGGCUGCCCCUGACCAAGGAAAGGAACAUCAUCGAUUCCAUCCCUCGCGUUUUUGGUUAAGUCGUUUUUGGGCCUGUUCAACACUCCAUGACCCUAUUUGGAGUUUCCGUGGCGAAGAUCGUGAAAUGGUUGGCCAUUUCCGUCUCCAGCUCAUUUUGGCCAACAGUUAAUUUAAGUGACUUGCCCAGAGCCACACAGCUAGGAAGUGUCUGAGGUUGGAUUUGAACUCAUAUCUCCCUGAUUCCACCCCACCCCAUUCCUUCACUACCUAGGAAACUGAAGUCCAGAGAGGAAAAGUGUAAGUUCUGACCAGCAUUUGGGUUCUUUCCAUUCCCUAUACUCCACUUUUUCCAGUUGGCUGCUAGGGGAGUUUUAUGGGGAUUUUUAGGUUUUACAUUUUUGCAAACAAGCAUUUCUUUUUCUUCCUCCCUCCCAAUGGAGUCCCAGGAUCCUGACUCCUGACCAAACCAAAGGGAUACUCAGGGAAGAAAGACAAGCAGGUUCAGGGCAAAUUUGAGCUUGUCUAAGGUAGCCAGUAAGUCUGUGUGAAGGGACCCAGGUAAGAAAAACAGCUAUUAAAUGUUGCUUAGAUGGUCCUCCAAUCCAGUUAGAGCCCAGCGAGUUCAGUAUCUGUUCUCAUUGGGAUCCAGGCUUAGAGAUUGCUUAUUGGAGUCCAGUAUAAUGAAGAAUAAUGAGUUCUGAGGAUCAGGAAAAAGAGAGAAUUCUCUCCCCUGUCCUGAAGAUAGCACUUUGGGAAACUGGUUGAGUAAUUGAGAUGAAUUAGAAAACUAUAAUGGUAAGAGUAAAAAGAAAAUGAUUAAAUAACUUCUAAGUGUAUAUGCUAAUGACAAGACAAGUUCUGGUUACCUGACUGGCCUAUUCCCUCUUAGGGAUAGGGGUGUUGAAAAGGAGGAAAGUUCAAAGUGGGAUCUACUCAACUGCCUACCCUCACCCUGUAUUCUACCUCAACAGGUGGUAUAGAUUUUAGAGAAGGGGUGGUUGGGGGAGUUGAUUCUGCUCCUAGCACACCUCCAGAGGAAGGAAGGGGGCUGGAACUGUUAACUAGAAAUGUCCAAUAAUUCCUGUUCCCAGAAAAAGGAGAGGGGCAAAGAGAAAAAACUAAAGAAUUUUUUCCCCCUAUGGGAAGUCCCUUAGGGGGGAGGAGGAAUUGGCUAUGGAGAUGCUCCCUUCACUAGUUCCAAAGUAAGGAAUUCAAAGAAGGAAAUGAAGUCAUUAUUGGGAGACUCUAUAGGGCUUGCAGAACAAUUGGACCAAUUUCUGGGCCCUGGCCUAUGUUCUUGGAAAGAAAUUGAAAUUGAAUUAAAAGCAAUCAUGAACAUCUUCUUUUCCAGAGAGGAGAGGCAACAAAUUUGAAAGACUGCAAUGGAAGGUAGGGAAAGGCAUCAUGCACUUGGACCAGGUGUGGUAUCUGCUGGCCAAAAAUACCCUAAUGUAGAUCCAGUCUGGGAUACCAAUACUGAGGCCCAUCAUAACAACGUGAGAGAUUUGAGAGAACUGAUACAUGGGGUUAAAGAUCCAGAACCUAAAAGUCAAUAUUUGAAUAAGGCAUUUGAGAUUCAACAAGAGUCAGAUGAGUUCCCAUCUGCUUUCUUAGAGAGGCUGAGAAGUGGAUGUAGUGGUGAGGGGGAAUGGACCCUGUGGGCCUACUAGCUCAGGGGAUGCUCAAAAUGAAUUUUGAGUCACCAAAGCUUUCCCUGACAUAAAUAAGAAACUAAUAAAGAUUGAGGGAUGGUAAAUAGUCAGGGCCAAGAACUAGAGUACCACAAAUUAUUGAAAAGAGUUUUAGAAAGUCUGAUAGAAAUUUUGUUAAUGUUAAUGUACAUAUUAAUGGCCACCAAAGAUACUUUUGAGGUUAGAGAGGAAACAGCCUGGUGGAUGAGGAAGCUAAGAGAGUUGCUUUUUUAGAAGAACCUAAGGAAAAGUUGAUGGCCUUGAUACCUACUGUCCCAACUGAAAUAAAACCCCCCACCUUUCUCAAAGAAGGAAGAGGAAAAAAUUAAGGAGAUGGAAGCAGAACCCUCCACAGAAGGGAAAUGGGUGUCCCUCCAAUGGGAGGGUUAGGGUUAGGAAGGGUAAAAUAUCUUCUAGUAAUAGUGGAUCAUUUAACAGGAUGGGUUGAGACCUACCCUACCUCAAAAACAACUUCCCAAGCUGUGACCAAUACCAUCUUUGAACAACACAUCAUUCCAAGGUACAGGUCAGUAGAAAAUAUAGACUUAGACAACAGAACUCAUUUUACUACCAGAGCCCUUCAGUAUGUUAUGAGAGCCUUAGAAAUAAAUUGGGGCUUCCAUACCCCAUGACACCCACCUUCUUCAGGAAGGGUGGUAGGAAUAAAUCAGACCUUAAAGUAUAUCAAUUUCAAAAUUGAUCCUUGAGACCAAAUUUCCUUGGACAAAGUGUUUACCCAUAGGCCUGAUAAGGAUUAGGACUAUUCCUAGGAAAGAUACAGGGAUGUCACCCUAUGAAAUGCUAUUUGGAUACCCCAUCUGAGAAGAAAUUCAGAAUUCCCUCAGUUUGAAAGUAAUACGUUUAUAAGAAUACGUGCUCACACUUGUCUCUUUAUUCUGACAGAAGAGAGUAUUAGCCCAAACUCUACCUCUCAAGUUUCCUGUGCACCAGCUAAGACCAGGAGAUUGGGCACUAAUAAAGAUCUGAAAGGAGGAAAAACUGGACCCCAAUUGGGAAGAACCCUUUCUCAUGCUUUUAACAACUGAGACUGCAGUAAGGACAGCAGACAAGGGCUAGACAUACCACUCACACACGAAGGGCAAUGUAAAUGGACAGUAAGACAAGGAUCUGAUCCUUUGAAACUUAAAACUCAGGAAAGAGUAACAUGAACUAUUUAUAUUAUGUGCCUAUUUUUGCUCUGGUUUUUUUCUUGUUGUUGUAAGGAGAAGAGGAGCAGAGGUUAUGCUUUACUAGUAUUAGUGAGGAGGAAGGGCUUAUUAUAUUGGUACUUGUUUUACUAAGCAUCCUAUCCUUUACCGUCCUCCUUUCCUGGUAUUUCUGUCAAAGACAAAGAGGUAACAGGGACCAGUACAUUCCUUUGAAUUAAUGGCAUGGGAUCCAGGAAAGAGUGAUAACACAGAUUGGAUUUUGGAGGAAAGAUUGAUGACAAUGAGGGAGCUCCCAGAGACACCGCACAGAGCAUCCGGAAGACUGCGUACGGACCAGUACAGAAAUGGGAUUCUUGGCUUGAUAGCACUUGGUGGGAAUUGGUGGAAGCAGCUCAGUUUCUUUCUGAUUUGCGCUCUAGGGCCUUUGUUAAUAUUCCUUGCUUAAUACCCUGCAUUAUAGGACCGAGUCCAAAAACAGUUGAGAUUAUGCAGCUGUUAGCGUGGAUAUAACGCAGAACUACUAAAGUAGUCAGAAAAACCAAGUCUUUAAUCAGGGAAGAGAAGUCCAAUGAUCACCCCAAACUAUUCAGAGGCAACACCCUGGGAGCAUGCACCCUCUACAUGAUUUCUCCAAAGAACAAUAGAACUUGGGAAACUUCUAUACCUUUGGGAGAACUAAGGACAGGGAAGUAUGAUGGAUUGGCGUUACCAUGGCUACAAGGAAAUGAGAAGUCCAAGUCAGGAUUAACCGGGAGAGGCUGAUGCUUUACAAUGGACACAAAAGGGGAAAGUCCAUCCGAGAGCUGAGGUACCAGGGAGAGGACUUUGAUACAAUGGGAGAAACUACUAAAAGACAUUUGAUUUAGGUCUACCUAAAGGCCUAUUCUGUCUGAAAUGGGUGAGUUCUCAGGGGCCAGGGGCAGACUUGGGGUCUCCAGAUUUCAGAAGAAAUUUAUAACAUGGAAGGAGAGGAGUCCAACUAGCAAACAGAAAGAGGGGCAGGAACCUAUAAAAUUGUGGACUCCUCUCACAAAGAUGCAAAAUGGAGCCAAAGUAGGAAGACUUCAGGCCUUGUCACCUAAGUUUCCAUCAAAACAAGUUUCUUGUUCCCAACCUAAGCCCUAGUUUCCUCAAACCAAUGAGACACAAACUGAUUGAUAGGCUAUCCCCAUAAAAAGGCUAUAGGAUAUGCAGAUAGAUAGGAUUGAAACAGUCCUUGUUUUGAUUGGUUAAAGCUUGCUUGAAUAAUUAGGAUAAUUUAGUUUUUCAAAGUACUCCUGAUUAGCUAGCUUUCUGGGAAAAGAUUGUAACUCUCAAGUAACCAGCCAAUGGUGAAUGAGGGGAGGGACCAUCAGUAUCAAUCUCAGGGUCUAGGGUAAAAGGAGCCUGUGUGCUCCCAUCCUUUGUAUUUACCUGCUGGCUAAGCCUCUUGUAGCACUCACUUGGGAGCACCCAUUCUCUCAAAGAUGAAAUAAAAGAGCUUUUGACACAAUGAUAUGAAGUUCAAGAAGUUUUGAGUAAGGAGGUGGUUCCUCUUGGUUCCACUCCCUAUGGUUGUCUCUUUCCAAUUGGCUACUGUCCUGGGGGGAGUUUGAGGGGCUUUUUAGGUUUUACAUUUUUGCUAGCAAGCAUUUUUUUCCUUCCUCCCUCCCACUGGCAAAAAAGAAAGGUAAGAUUUUUGUAAUAAAUAUGCGUAGUCCAACAAAAUAAAGACUUGCACUGUUCAAGUCAAAAAUGCAUGUCUCAUUCUGAGUCCUGAUUUCCCUGUCAGGCUAGUCAGGUCUAUCUAUCAAGGGUGUUUGUCUCUACAAUGCUGUUGUCAUUGUAUAAAAUGCCCUUUUUCUGUUUACUUCCUUCUUCAUCACCUCAAACAAUCCCUUCUCCAAUACCCUCAAAUUCAUCUUUUGUUAUGGCUUGUAUGUAUGAGUACUUGCCCUUUGAUUUCCCCCUGGGCCAGAGGGUAUGUAUCUACAGUUUAGUGUCUUUGGGGAUAUAGACCCAGAUUGCCCAGUGCAGCUCACAACUACCAAGAGUUCAGUAGUAUCCCUGUAACUGAGACUCAAUAUUGAUUCUAAGAUGGAAGGUCAGGGGGGAGACAGAGACAGAGAGAAUGUCAUUGGCCCUUUUUAAAAGUGAAAGAAGAGGGGGCAGCUGGGUGGCUCAGUAGAUUGAGAGCCAGGCCUAGAGAUGGGAGGUCCUAGGUUCAAAUCUGAUCAUAUGUACUACACUGGCUUGACCUACCUAUGAGUAAUUCAUUUUCUUUUUCACAUUAUUGAAGUUUGUCUUCAUUUUUGUAAAGUGUGUUUUGUAAUUAUAUUCCUAUAUUUCACAAUUGUGUUUUGGCAGGUAGACUCCCAAGUAUUUUAUAUAUUCUAUUAUUAUUUAAAAUGGAACUUCUUUUUCUGUCUCUUCGUGAUGUUUUUUGUUGGCAGUACAGGAUGAUGCAAGUCUUAAUGAAACUUGAGAAUACAUCUUUAGAUACAGAAGUUAGGACAAUUUAUGUGAAUUUGCUUUAUCCUGCAACUUCACUGAAAUUGUUUCAAUUAAUAUUACUUGACCCUAGUUUUGUCUAAGUAAUUCCUCAUAUCAUCUAAAAAAUGAUCAUUUUGUUUCCUCUUCUCAUCUUAUUCCUCCAAUUUUUUUUCCUUGUCAUUGCUAUAGCUAGCUUUUCUGGCACGAUAUUAGGCAAUAGUGGUGAUAAUGAAUAUCUUUACCUUUAUCUCUGAUCUUACUAGAAAGGCCUCAAUUUUAAUCUUUUAUCCCAAUGACCAUAUUAAAGAAAGGCCAUUUAUUCCUAUGCUUUUCAGUUUUUUUAAACAGAAAAAGGAGUAGUAUAUUCUGUCAAAUGCUUUUUCUGCAUCCACUGACAUAGAAGCAUGAUUUUUUCCUUAUUCUUUUUUUUUUAAACCCUUACCUUCUGUCUUGGAGUCAAUACUGUGUAUUGGCUCCAAGGCAGAAGAGUGGUAAGGGUAGGCAAUGGAGGUCAAGUGACUUGCCCAGGGUCACCCAGCUGGGAAGUGUCUGAGGCCAGUCCUUAUUCUUAAUAUGGUCUAGUGCAAUAGUUCAGGCAUGAGACCAAAGAUAAUGAGGUUAGUUUUGGAUAUGCUUAGUUUAAGAUGUCUACUGGAUAGAAUUGACUUGCAAAUCCAUCUAAUUGCAGGGAUUUUCUUUGAGAGUUCAUUUAUGACUUGUCCAAUUUGUUUUCCUAAGAUUGUAAUUUAUACUUUCUACCUUCUUAUUUAUUAAUCUGUAUACUUUAUAUUUUUGUAAAUACUUGUCCAUUUCAUUUCAUUUGUUAGUUUCCAGUUGGGCAAAAUAGUUCCAAAUAAUUUCCUUUAUUUCUUCUUCAUGUGUUGUGAAAUUCUCCCUUAUAAUUUUUAAAAUUCUGGUACUUUGGUUUUCCUUAUUUGGAUUUCGUUUUAUAGAAGAAAAACAACUGCUUGAUCACCUGGGUCAAUGGGGAUAGGACUGGAGAAGUAGACUCUAAUGAUCCACUCUAGUGCAAAUAUCAAUAAUACGGAAAUAGGUCUUGAUCAGUGACACAUGUAAAACCCAGUGGAAUUGUGCAUUGGCUACAGGGGUUGAGGGGUGUGGGAGGAGGGGAGGGAAAGAACAUGAAUCUUGUAACCAUGGAAAAAUAUUCUAGAUCAAUUAAUUAAACAUUUUCAAAAGAAAAAAAA